AGUAACGCGUGAGGAACCUGCCUCAGAGAGGGGGACAACAGUUGGAAACGACUGCUAAUACCGCAUAAGCCCACGGCUCGGCAUCGAGCAGAGGGAAAAGGAGUGAUCCGCUUUGAGAUGGCCUCGCGUCCGAUUAGCUAGUUGGCGGGGUAACGGCCCACCAAGGCGACGAUCAGUAGCCGGACUGAGAGGUUGAACGGCCACAUUGGGACUGAGAUACGGCCCAG
rnacentral:rRNA from 1 species